AUUGAACGCUGGCGGCAGGCCUAACACAUGCAAGUCGAACGGUAGCACAGAGAGCUUGCUCUCGGGUGACGAGUGGCGGACGGGUGAGUAAUGUCUGGGAAACUGCCUGAUGGAGGGGGAUAACUACCGGAAACGGUAGCUAAUACCGCAUAACGUCGCAAGACCAAAGAGGGGGACCUUCUGGCCUCUUGCAAUCAGAUGUGCCCAGAUGGGAUUAGCUAGUAGGUGGGGUAAUGGCUCACCUAGGCGACGAUCCCUAGCUGGUCUGAGAGGAUGGCCAGCCACACGGGAACUGAGACACGGUCCAGACUCCUACGGGAGGCAGCAGUGGGGAAUAUUGCACAAUGGGCGCAAGCCUGAUGCAGCCAUGCCGCGUGUAUGAAGAAGGCCUUCGGGUUGUAAAGUACUUUCAGCGGGGAGGAAGGUGUUGAGGUUAAUAACCUCAGCAAUUGACGUUACCCGCAGAAGAAGCACCGGCUAACCCCGUGCCAGCCGCCGCAGUAA
rnacentral:rRNA from 1 species